AUGGUACAGGAAGUGCCAAAUUUUGAGUCCACAGUGAAACAGGAAAUGUCAAAUGUUGAACACUUCCAGGAACGCUAAACUGAGAGGCGGUGUGCACCUUGACAGGUCUUGAGGUAAGUCAGUCACUAUUUAGCGUGUAUAUUACAUGUAAAAA